rnacentral:rRNA from 1 species
AUUGAACGCUGGCGGAAUGCUUUACACAUGCAAGUCGAACGGCAGCACGGACUUCGGUCUGGUGGCGAGUGGCGAACGGGUGAGUAAUGUAUCGGAACGUGCCCAGUCGUGGGGGAUAACGUAGUGAAAGUUACGCUAAUACCGCAUACGAUCUAUGGAUGAAAGCGGGGGAUCGCAAGACCUCGCGCGAUUGGAGCGGCCGAUAUCAGAUUAGGUAGUAGGUGGGGUAAAGGCCCACCAAGCCAACGAUCUGUAGCUGGUCUGAGAGGACGACCAGCCACGCUGGAACUGAGACACGGUCCAGACUCCUACGGGAGGCAGCAGUGGGGAAUUUUGGACAAUGGGCGAAAGCCUGAUCCAGCCAUUCCGCGUGCAGGAUGAAGGCCCUCGGGUUGUAAACUGCUUUUGUACAGAACGAAAAGGUUUCUACUAAUACUAGGAGCUCAUGACGGUACUGUAAGAAUAAGCACCGGCUAACUACGUGCCAGCCGCCGCGGUAA